AAAUCUAUAUUGUUUACAGAAUUUCCUAUAGACAUUAAUAUAUAAGAAGGGGUGAACAACAUAAAUUUGGUUGAAAAUAUUCGGCGGACAGAAAAGUUGUUCGUGUCUAGGAUUUCGAGUGUUUGUUUCGAAGUGAAAUCGUUCAAUCGGUACUGGACGAUCUAUAAUAUUGUUUAAUAAUUUUUUUUUAUUAUUUUUUUUUUUUUUUUUUUUUUAAUACGUACAACAUGUGUGUUUGUUUCCGCGAUAAUUACGAAAAUUAAACUUGCCGACUUGAUGCGUUUUCGAAAAACCACACGAAAUCAGUUUUUCGUACUAUUCCUAGACUGCUGCAACACUAUCUAGCUGUUUUCCAGGUAACGGUGACGAAAAUAACAAACAAUAUGUUUUUUUAACACAUAAACUAGCGGUUCUCAAACUUUGGUUCUCGGUUGUCUACACGGUCUUAUGCAGACGUGACCG